rnacentral:tRNA from 1 species
UGGGGAGUAGCCAAGCGGUAAGGCAACGGACUUUGACUCCGUCAUGCGUAGGUUCGAUCCCUACCUCCCCAGCCA